rnacentral:rRNA from 1 species
UAAGGAAUAUUGGGCAAUGGACGAAAGUCUGACCCAGCCAUGCCGCGUGGAGGAUGAAGGUCCUCUGGAUUGUAAACUUCUUUUUUCUGGGGCGAAAACCGGUUUUUCUAAACCAUUUGACAGUACCAGAAGAAUAAGCCACGGCUAACUCCGUGCCAGCAGCCGCGGUAAUACGGAGGUGGCAAGCGUUGCUCGGAAUUACUGGGCUUAAAGGGCGCGUAGGCGGUCAGGCAAGUCAGGUGUGAAAUCCCCCGGCUCAACCGAGGAACUGCGCUUGAAACUGCCUGGCUGGAGUGCAGAAGGGGAGAGUGGAAUUCCCGGUGUAGCGGUGAAAUGCGUAGAUAUCGGGAAGAACGCCGGUGGCGAAAGCGGCUCUCUGGUCUGUAACUGACGCUGAGGCGCGAAAGCUAGGGGAGCAAACAGGAUUAGAUACCCUGGUAGUCCUAGCCGUAAACGAUGUGCACUAAGUAUGGGCCUCUUCCAUGAGGUCCGUGCCCAAGAUAAAUCAUUAAGUGCACCGCCUGGGGAGUAUGACCGCAAGGUUA